rnacentral:rRNA from 1 species
GAAGAAGGCCAUCGGGUUGUAAAGCACUUUCAGUCGUGAGGAAGGCGGUGUAGUUAAUAGCUGCAUCGUUUGACGUUAGCGACAGAAGAAGCACCGGCUAACUCCGUGCCAGCAGCCGCGGUAAUACGGAGGGUGCGAGCGUUAAUCGGAAUUACUGGGCGUAAAGCGCAUGCAGGUGGUUUGUUAAGUCAGAUGUGAAAGCCCGGGGCUCAACCUCGGAAUUGCAUUUGAAACUGGCAGACUAGAGUACUGUAGAGGGGGGUAGAAUUUCAGGUGUAGCGGUGAAAUGCGUAGAGAUCUGAAGGAAUACCGGUGGCGAAGGCGGCCCCCUGGACAGAUACUGACACUCAGAUGCGAAAGCGUGGGGAGCAAACAGGAUUAGAUACCCUGGUAGUCCACGCCGUAAACGAUGUCUACUUGGAGGUUGUGGCCUUGAGCCGUGGCUUUCGGAGCUAACGCGUUAAGUAGACCGCCUGGGGAGUACGGUCGCAAGAUUAAAACUCAAAUGAAUUGACGGGGGCCCGCACAAGCGGUGGAGCAUGUGGUUUAAUUCGAUGCAACGCGAAGAACCUUACCUACUCUUGACAUCCAGAGAAGCUUGAAGAGAUUCGAGUGUGCCUUCGGGAACUCUGAGACAGGUGCUGCAUGGCUGUCGUCAGCUCGUGUCGUGAAAUGUUGGGUUAAGUCCCGCAACGAGCGCAACCCUUAUCCUUGUUUGCCAGCACUUCGGGUGGGAACUCCAGGGAGACUGCCGGUGAUAAACCGGAGGAAGGUGGGGACGACGUCAAGUCAUCAUGGCCCUUACGAGUAGGGCUACACACGUGCUACAAUGGCAUAUACAGAGGGCAGCAAGACCGCGAGGUGGAGCGAAUCCCAGAAAGUAUGUCGUAGUCCGGAUCGGAGUCUGCAACUCGACUCCGUGAAGUCGGAAUCGCUAGUAAUCGUGGAUCAGAAUGCCACGGUGAAUACGUUCCCGGGCCUUGUACACACCGCCCGUCACACCAUGGGAGUGGGCUGCACCAGAAGUAGAUAGCUUAACCUUCGGGAGGGCGUUUACCACGGUGUGGUUCAUGACUGGGGUGAAGUCGUAACAAGGUAGCCGAAGGG